AACGAACGCUGGCGGCAGGCUUAACACAUGCAAGUCGAACGCUCGUAGCAAUACGGGAGUGGCGGACGGGUGAGUAACGCGUGGGAACGUGCCCUGAGGUACGGAAUAACUGCGGGAAACUGCAGCUAAUACCGUAUGAGCCCCGUGAGGGGGAAAGAUUUAUCGCCUUAGGAGCGGCCCGCGUCGGAUUAGCUAGUUGGUGGGGUAAACGGCUUACCAAGGCUUCGAUCCGUAGCUGGUCUGAGAGGACGAUCAGCCACACUGGGACUGAGACACGGCCCAGACUCCUACGGGAGGCAGCAGUGGGGAAUCUUGCGCAAUGGGGGCAACCCUGACGCAGCCAUGCCGCGUGAAUGAUGAAGGCCUUAGGGUUGUAAAGUUCUUUGCCCGUGACGAUGAUGAGGGUAACGGGAGAAUAAGCUCCGGCUAAACUUCGUGCCAGCAGCCGCGGUAA
rnacentral:rRNA from 1 species